rnacentral:rRNA from 1 species
UAAGGAAUAUUGGACAAUGGAGGCAACUCUGAUCCAGCCAUGCCGCGUGAAGGAAUAAGGCCCUAUGGGUUGUAAACUUCUUUUAGACGGGACAAAACCCCUUUACGUGUAAAGGGUUGAUGGUACUGUCAGAAUAAGCAUCGGCUAACUUCGUGCCAGCAGCCGCGGUAAUACGAAGGAUGCAAGCGUUAUCCGGAAUUAUUGGGUUUAGAGGGUGCGUAGGCGGACUAAUAAGUCAGUGGUGAAAGCCUGCAGCUUAACUGCAGAAUUGCCAUUGAUACUGUUAGUCUUGAGUACAGUUGAGGUAGGCGGAAUGUGUCAUGUAGCGGUGAAAUGCUUAGAUAUGACACAGAACACCGAUUGCGAAGGCAGCUUGCUAAGCUGUAACUGACGCUGAGGCACGAAAGCGUGGGGAGCAAACA